UACGAAGGGGGGCUAGCGUUGCUCGGAAUGACUGGGCGUAAAGGGCGCGUAGGCGGUUUGGACAGUCAGGCGUGAAAUUCCUGGGCUUAACCUGGGGGCUGCGCUUGAUACAUCCAGACUUGAGUGGGGAAGAGGGUCGUGGAAUUCCCAGUGUAGAGGUGAAAUUCGUAGAUAUUGGGAAGAACACCGGUGGCGAAGGCGGCGACCUGGUCCUUUACUGACGCUGAGGCGCGAAAGCGUGGGGAGCAAACAGG
rnacentral:rRNA from 1 species